AUACGGAGGGGACUAGCGUUGUUCGGAAUUACUGGGCGUAAAGAGUACGUAGGCGGUCUAUCAAGUUGGGUGUGAAAGCCCGGGGCUCAACCCCGGAACUGCACUCAAAACUGAUAAACUAGAGAUCGGAAGAGGUAAGUGGAAUUCCCAGUGUAGAGGUGAAAUUCGUAGAUAUUGGGAAGAACACCAGUGGCGAAGGCGGCUUACUGGUCCGAGACUGACGCUGAGGUACGAAAGCGUGGGGAGCAAACAGGAUUAGAUACCCGAGUAGUCC
rnacentral:rRNA from 1 species